UCCCCUGGGGGGAGGCUCCUGAAAUAAAUCUGGGGAUGCUUCAGGGGUCUUUGAUGGUUUGUGAUACCUAACACAAGACAGCUGUCUCUCCUAUCAGCAUAGCUGGCUAGUUGUGCCCCAUCAGAAUGGAUGAAUAACUUCAGGCCUAUGUGUGAAUGCCCCAACACUUUCCCCAAGGGGAGUUUUACACCUGAACCAGUUGUGUUGGGGAAGCCACAGGCAUAAUAAAAAGCACCAUCCCACCUUGCAAGAUCUUCUUAUUGGGCGCUUCCCUUAUCUGGCUCAAACUCAGCUGCUGCUCACAAAGGGAGUGAGCCAGCGGCUGCGUGGGACUUCUGGCUGGGCUUAACCUGCAACACCAGUAAAAAGCAACUGCAGCUGACAUGUUUACAGGAAAAGUGGAUGAUUGGAUGUCACUAAAUGUCAUUAGAAGUUCAUUCAUCUUCUAUAAAAUAAAAUAACUAUUUCAUGAAGAGGCAGAAUGCUGAUAAAAAAGAAAUCUUUGAAAGCUGUCACAGAUGAAGAAUAUCAGCUUCCAGCACUGAAGAGGAGGUGGCACUUCACAUCCUCUCUGCACUUCCCAAGUAACCAGGGAUUACUCCACUCCAAAGUAAUUGCUAGUGGCUGGUGCCUUUGUCUCUCUCUGUCAGAAUCUUCUAGGUUAAUGGAAAGUUUGCUCUGGAAAGCUCCACAGAUUGAAACAUGAACCAAGAUCAUCUGCAAUACCACAAUAUGCAUGCUCUUGGAAGAGGAACCACAGUUUUCAAUGCUUGUUAGGCCUUCACUUCAGCCUGAGGGCAGUAAUAUCCCCUCUUUGUAGUCAAAUGAGCUUAUGUGACAUUAUCUCAAAUACUAAGAAAGGUUUUUGCAUGUAUAAAAUAACCACUGUCUAUCUUAUAACAGAUAAUUCUCUAAAACUUGCCAGCUCAAAUUCUACACGUUUUUAAUCAACACAGGUAUAAGAGGGUCAGAAUAUAGAGUGGAUGCAGUAAGCCCAAAAGAAGGAAUGAUUGUCCAUAUUUCUACCCAUCUCAAAUCCUGUGGAUGUUUGGGUGUGGAUUUAUGCUGUGUCCAAGA